UACGUAGGGUGCGAGCGUUAAUCGGAAUUACUGGGCGUAAAGCGUGCGCAGGCGGUUCGUUGUGUCGGCGGUGAAAGCCCCGGGCUUAACCUGGGAAUGGCCGUUGAAACUGGCGAACUGGAGUGUGGCAGAGGGGGGUGGAAUUCCGCGUGUAGCAGUGAAAUGCGUAGAGAUCCGGCAGAAGACCGGUGGCGAAGGCGGCCCCCUGGGCAGUAACUGACACUGAGGCACGAAAGCUAGGGGAGCAAACAGG
rnacentral:rRNA from 1 species